CAUUCUAGUCAUUAUAGGGUGGAUCCUUGUUGCAGUCACAUUUAUCUUAUGUGGUGCAUUUCUUGUUCUUCACAAUGCAACGGGAGACACAUGUGUGGCCAUGGAUGAUUGGGUAAAAAACCCAUCGGCUCAUACAGCCCUUGAUAAGAUAAUCCCUUGUGUGGACACUGCUACUGCCCAAGAAACCUUGUCUCAGAGCAAAGAGGUCACCUACCAAUUGGUUGGAGUCACUAACACUAUCAUCACCAAUGUUUCAAACAUCAAUCUGCCUCCCGGUGUUUCUUACAACCAAUCUGGUCCACUGGUCCCUAAUCUCUGUAAUCCGUUUAAUUCAGAUAAGACAGACCGAAAAUGUGCAAGUGGUGAAGUGGAACUUAGCAAUGCCACACAGGUUUGGAAGAAUUACGUUUGUGAGGUUUCAGCGAGUAAUGUGUGCUCCACUGUGGGCCGUCUAACCCCUUCUAUGUACGACCAAAUGACUGCUGUAGUCAACGUUAGCAACGGCCUGUAUCAUUCUGGGCCAUUCCUUAAGGAACUACUCGACUGUACUUUCCUCCGAGAUACCUUCACUGUCAUUCAUGACGAACAUUGUCCUGAUUUGAGUCGAUACAGCAAGUGGAUCUACAUCGGUUUAGCUCUGGUCUCAGUAUCAGUAAUGCUCUCACUCGUUUGUUGGGUACUAUACGCAAGAGAGAGACGUCACCGUAAGUAUACCAAACUUGUUGAUGCUACAUCUGGUCAAGAAUCUUUAGCAGGGAAAAGCCAUGGUUGAGUUUUCAAAUAAUUUUGGACCUCGUAGUUAUCGACAAAACGUUCAUAUAUUUUCUUAGGUAUAUAUAGUAUGUUAUAUGGUUUCUAAUAUUAACGUUUGUUUAUUACAAUACAAGUCGAUUAGGGACUUGUAGGGAUUGUUAGAUGUUGUUCAUACACUAUUCAAUCUAGGAUUGUUGUGUAUACAGG
rnacentral:misc_RNA from 1 species